rnacentral:rRNA from 1 species
GUGAGACAGUUCGGUCCCUAUCCGGCGUGGGCGUAGGAUAUUUGAGAGGAGCUGUCCUUAGUACGAGAGGACCGGGAUGGACUGACCGCUGGUGGAUCUGUUGUGAACCAAUCGCAUGGCAGAGUAGCCAAGUCAGGACGGGAUAAACGCUGAAGGCAUCUAAGCGUGAAGCCCCCCUUAAGAUAAGACUUCCCAUUCGAAAGAAGUAAGACCCCUUGAAGACGACGAGGUAGAUAGGGCAGAGGUGGAAGUGCGGUAACGCAUGGAGCUGACUGUUACUAAUCGGUCGAGGGCUUGACCUU